rnacentral:lncRNA from 1 species
AUUUAAGCAUGCAAUCAAACUACAUAUUAAAAUCCGUUAGAAUCCCAUAAUGGAGUUUAGUUCAUGACUUAACCAAAAGCCAUUAUGGGAUCAAAUCUAAACAUGAUUAAUAAACAAACAAUUAAAAGAUGAAAGGUAGAAAUAAUCAAACCCAAUUGUUGAAUAUAGAUCAAUAUUUAAAUCCUCAUAAGAUUCUAGCAAAAUAAAAU